AUUGAACGCUAGCGGGAUGCUUUACACAUGCAAGUCGAACGAGUGGCGGACGGGUGAGUAAUAUAUCGGAACGUGCGUAACCGCGGGGUAUAACUGCUCGAAAGAGUGGCUAAUACCGCAUACGACGGUAUCGGCCGUUAUCGGAUUAGCUACCUGGUGGGGUAAAGGCUGACCAAGGCAACGAUCCGUAGCUGGGCUGAGAGGACGACCAGCCACACUGGGACUGAGACACGGCCCAGACUCCUACGGGAGGCAGCAGUGGGGAAUUUUGGACAAUGGGGGAAACCCUGAUCCAGCCAUCCCGCGUGUAUGAGAAGGCCUUCGGGUUGUAAAGUACUUUUGGCAGAGAAGCGGUAUCUACAGAAUAAGCACCGGCUAACUACGUGCCAGCCGCCGCGGUAAUUC
rnacentral:rRNA from 1 species